rnacentral:rRNA from 1 species
UGGGGAAUAUUGGACAAUGGGCGCAAGCCUGAUCCAGCAAUGCCGCGUGUGUGAAGAAGGCCUGCGGGUUGUAAAGCACUUUCAGUGGGGAAGAAAAGCGGGGUGCUAAUACCAUCCGGUUUUGACGUUACUCACAGAAGAAGCACCGGCUAACUCCGUGCCAGCAGCCGCGGUAAUACGGAGGGUGCGAGCGUUAAUCGGAAUCACUGGGCGUAAAGCGCACGUAGGCGGCCGUGUAAGUCAGAUGUGA